rnacentral:rRNA from 1 species
AGGACGAACGCUGGCGGCGUGCUUAACACAUGCAAGUCGAGCGGUAAGGCCUUUCGGGGUACACGAGCGGCGAACGGGUGAGUAACACGUGGGUGAUCUGCCCUGCACUUCGGGAUAAGCCUGGGAAACUGGGUCUAAUACCGGAUAUGACCUCCUAUCGCAUGGUGGGUGGUGGAAAGAUUUAUCGGUGCAGGAUGGGCCCGCGGCCUAUCAGCUUGUUGGUGGGGUAAUGGCCUACCAAGGCGACGACGGGUAGCCGACCUGAGAGGGUGACCGGCCACACUGGGACUGAGACACGGCCCAGACUCCUACGGGAGGCAGCAGUGGGGAAUAUUGCACAAUGGGCAAAGCCUGAUGCAGCGACGCCGCGUGAGGAUGACGGCCUUCGGGUUGUAACCUCUUCUAGCAGGACGAAGCGCAAGAGACGGUACCUGCAGAAGAAGCACCGGCUAACUACGUGCCAGCAGCCGC